rnacentral:rRNA from 1 species
UACGUAGGGUGCGAGCGUUGUCCGGAAUUAUUGGGCGUAAAGGGCUCGUAGGCGGUCUGUUGCGUCGGGAGUGAAAACUCAGGGCUUAACCCUGAGCCUGCUUCCGAUACGGGCAGACUAGAGGUAUGCAGGGGAGAACGGAAUUCCUGGUGUAGCGGUGAAAUGCGCAGAUAUCAGGAGGAACACCGGUGGCGAAGGCGGUUCUCUGGGCCUUACCUGACACUGAGGAGCGAAAGCGUGGGGAGCGAACAGG